GACCGCGUAGCUCAGUUGGCAGAGCAUUGGGCUAGUAUUCCAAAGGUCGUAGGUUCGAGUCCCACCGUGGCCA